rnacentral:sRNA from 1 species
AAUCCGGUAGGUAAGGCUACCGCAGGGAUAUGGAUCGCUGCCGCGAAGUGAUGGAAACAUCAUAAGAGGGUCGAACAGGUGCUAUCGAACAGGAAGGUAUCAUCUAACGCGAUUUCACCGCCUUGUGGAGCUAAAGCUUGAACGGUUGC